rnacentral:rRNA from 1 species
GCCUACGGGGGCUGCAGUGGGGAAUAUUGGACAAUGGGCGAAAGCCUGAUCCAGCCAUGCCGCGUGUGUGAAGAAGGCCUUCGGGUUGUAAAGCACUUUCAGUGGGGAAGAAAGCCUUGGGGCUAAUACCCUCGAGGAAGGACAUCACCCACAGAAGAAGCACCGGCUAACUCCGUGCCAGCAGCCGCGGUAAUACGGAGGGUGCGAGCGUUAAUCGGAAUUACUGGGCGUAAAGCGCGCGUAGGCGGUCUGAUAAGCCGGUUGUGAAAGCCCCGGGCUCAACCUGGGAACGGCAUCCGGAACUGUCAGGCUAGAGUGCAGGAGAGGAAGGUAGAAUUCCCGGUGUAGCGGUGAAAUGCGUAGAGAUCGGGAGGAAUACCAGUGGCGAAGGCGGCCUUCUGGACUGACACUGACGCUGAGGUGCGAAAGCGUGGGUAGCAAACAGGAGUAGAUACCUUGUAGUC